rnacentral:rRNA from 1 species
AUUGAACGCUGGCGGCAGGCCUAACACAUGCAAGUCGAGCGGAUGAAGGGAGCUUGCGCCGGGAGUCAGCGGCGGACGGGGGAGUGAUGCCUAUGAGUCUGCCGGGUAUGGGUGGAUAACGUCCGGAAAAGGGCGCUAAUACCGCAUACUACCUGAGGGAGCAGGUUGGGGAUCGUCGGACCGCACGCGAGCAGAUGAGCCUAGGUCGGAUUAGCUAGUUGGUGGGGUAAAGGCCUACCAAGGCGACGAUCGGUAACUGGUCUGAGAGGAUGAUAAGUCACAUUGGAACUGAGACACGGUCAAGACUCCUACGGGAGGGAGCAGUCGGGAAGAUUGGACAAUGGGCGAAAGUCUGAUACAGUCAUGCCGCGUGUGUGAAGAAGGUCUCCGGAUCGUAAAGACCGUCAAGUUGGGAGGAAGGGCAGUCAGUUAAUACCUUGCUGUUUUGACGUUACCAACAGAAUAAGCACCGGCUAACUUCGUG